AAACCAACAGGGAUUGCCUUAGUAGCGGCGAGUGAAGCGGCAAAAGCUUCAAAUUUGAAAUCUGGCACUUUCAGUGUCCGAGUUGUAAUUUGAAGAAGGUAUCUUUGGGUCUGGCUCUUGUCUAUGUUUCUUGGAACAGAACGUCACAGAGGGUGAGAAUCCCGUGCGAUGAGAUGUCCCAGACCUAUGUAAAGUUCCUUCGAAGAGUCGAGUUGUUUGGGAAUGCAGCUCUAAGUGGGUGGUAAAUUCCAUCUAAAGCUAAAUAUUGGCGAGAGACCGAUAGCGAACAAGUACAGUGAUGGAAAGAUGAAAAGAACUUUGAAAAGAGAGUGAAAAAGUACGUGAAAUUGUUGAAAGGGAAGGGCUUGAGAUCAGACUUGGUAUUUUGUAUGUUACUCUCUCGGGGGUGGCCUCUACAGUUUACCGGGCCAGCAUCAGUUUGGGCGGUAGGACAAUUGCAAAGAAAUGUGGCACUGCCUCGGUAGUGUGUUAUAGUCUUUGUCGAUACUGCCAGCCUAGACUGAGGACUGCGGCUUCGGCCUAGGAUGUUGGCAUAAUGAUCUUAA
rnacentral:rRNA from 1 species